GCCAGCCAGCCACAGAUGAAGGGGAAGGAGCCCAUUGCCCAGUUUUGUCCAGAGGCCCACAUUGGCCAAGGCGGAGCGUCGAUCCCACCGAGACGUACAGCAGCAUUCUGGGGAGCAAGGAUCGACUGCGACCGCACAUGAAAGAGAGGAUAUGCGAUGUGAUGCAGCCCUCUAUUCCGAGUCCUUUGAAGAGGAGUCUGCCAACCCAAGGACGGUAAGAUACUUUGUGCAGGCCUUGCACUCUGUGAAUUUUCUUCAUUUUGACUCCCGACUCUUAGCACACUUUUUUGUCUACUCCACCUUUGGUGUUAACAGGUCAGGGUUAGGCUGUUGUAGAUUCCCAGAAAUAAUUCUGGACUGCGGCCUGCC